AUACUAUCAAGCCUGAAGAAUCCAAACACUGGGAAAUAGAACAUGCUGUAAAAAGUGAUCCCCCCAAAUCCUGGGAAAUGCUUGUUGAUGUUGAGGAAGAGGAACAGAAAAAGCAAAACCCAGAAUCUGUGAAACCAUUGGAAUCUGUAAACCAAGAAGAAAAGAAGUUGGAACUUUCACGGCGUUGGGAAUCUCCUCUUAAAGAAGUUGAUGAUCAUAAGCAUGAUGUUCCAAAGCCUUGGGUGGCACCAGUUAGAGAAGAGCAGGCCUCUUCCAAACCCUGGGUAACAAAAGUGAAGGAAGAGCAGGAACAAAAGCAAGAAGGUCCCAAACCUUGGGUAACUAAAGCUAAAGGAGGAUUGGAACAAAACCAGGAAAAGCCAAAAAUAUGGGUGUCUCAGACCAAUGUGGAAACUUUGAAAAAAUCAGAACCUGUGAAGCCUUGGGAUGCAUGUGUCAGAGAGGAGAUGGAACAAAAGAAACAGCAACCUGAAAAGCCAUGGGUGGUGCAUAUAAGGGAAGAGACUGAACAAAAAUCUCAGCCCCAAAAGGCUUGGGAAACAUCUGAGAGAUCGCAGCAAGUGAUCCAGCAGCCAUUACAGAAUCCUCCUAAGGUCUGGGGAGUUGGGAAUAUUGUACCAAAGGAGCAGACUGAGCUAAAGAAGUCUGACGUAGAACCAAAAGAAAGACGAGAACGCAGACCAAAGCUUGAAUCAGAUGUGAAACAAGAUGGAAAGACAGAUGGAGUAAAUGGACAAGACGUUGAUGAAUCAAGGAAAAAGGGGAGCUUUCAGUCUGUUGGAGAAUCAUGUAAAUUACCCAGGAAUCUCCAAAACGCUAUGCAGGUAGCUAAGCCUGUGCACCAACCAGCUGCAGAGUUUUGCUCUACUUCUAGCCUUCCAAAGGAUCCAGUACUAAGAAGGGAAAAAUUGCAAGAUUUGAUGACUCAAAUUCAGGGGACUUACAAUUUCAUGCAGGAAUCACUUCUGGAUUUUGAUAAACCUUCACAAAGUGCUAACUGUUCAUCACAAGCCCCUUCUGUUGAUUCUCCAGCUUCUAAUGAACAACUUUCAAGCCAAAUAGACUUCCCUGAACAAUCAGUGCAGAAUGCUUCUUCUCCCAUGACCUUGCAUGGCUCAAACACUUCCUUAGUUUCUGAUAAUACACUGUCUGGAUCAGAAACUGAACUUCAUUCACCACAAGUUCCUACUCCACUUUCAAGUGAAUCACAGAUACCACUGACACCAGCAAGAACUAGUAUGUCACCAGUACAUCAAGGGAAAGUUUUUCAGUCUCCUCCACCAAGUAGCAGUACUGUUAAUAUAAAGGCACCUCCCUUUCAGGCUAUGCAGACUGUGUUCAAAGUGAAUGCACCUUUGCCACCUCGUAGGGAGCAAGAUGUCAAAGAGAAUUCUCUGCAUCCUACAGGAUACAAUCAGAAUUUUUCAACAGCAAGCACGCAGACACCACCCCCAUGUAAACUACCAUCUACUCAAAAUGCAGAACAAACAACUUUUUCACAAGAGCCUCUUCCAAAUGCAGGUACUUGCCAGACUGAGGGAGCUGUUCCUGUCAGCAAUGGUACCCUCACCUUUUAUGCAGCACAGACAGCCACUUUUCCUAGACCAUCUCAGCCUUUUGUUGCAAGCCGUGGAUCUAUCAGAGGUCCUCUCAGGGGCGUAAGAUCAGUGACCAAUUCUUAUCGCUCUCCUGGUGGCUAUAAAGCAGGUUUUGAAGCUUACAGAGGAUCACCUUCAAUCCCUAAUGGAACCUAUAGCCAAUUACAGCUUCCUGGCAGAGAUUUCCCUUCAGUGCAAUAUCCUCAGAGGGAUAUGAAUUACCAACCAAACUAUAAACGAGGGGGUAUUAAUAGUGGUCGAACUAAUUCAAGAGCAGGAUGGAGCGAUUCCUCUCAGGUGAGCAGUCCAGAGCGUGACAAUGAGAUGUUUAACAGUGGGGACUCUGGGCAGGGUGAUUCCCGCAGCAUCACUCCUGUUGAUAUGCCUGUGACAAGCCAAGCAGCCACCAUACUACCUGUACACGUCUACCCCCUCCCACAGCAGAUGAGAGUUGCCUUUUCUGCUGCUAGAACUUCUAACUUGGCUCCUGGAACUUUAGAUCAACCCAUCGUGUUUGACCUCUUGUUAAACAAUCUUGGCGAAACCUUUGAUAUACAACUUGGUAGGUUCAAUUGUCCUGUUAAUGGUACCUAUGUAUUCAUAUUCCAUAUGCUGAAGCUAGCUGUGAAUGUACCAUUAUACGUGAACCUCAUGAAAAACGAAGAGGUUCUAGUCUCUGCGUAUGCCAAUGAUGGUGCUCCAGAUCAUGAGACUGCAAGCAACCAUGCAGUCCUCCAGCUGUUUCAAGGAGACCAGAUUUGGCUACGCCUUCAUAGAGGAGCUAUUUAUGGAAGUAGUUGGAAAUAUUCUACAUUCUCAGGAUACCUCCUGUAUCAAGACUGAACAUUAAGCUGCUCCAACAGUUUGGUGAAGGGAGGUGAAAACGGGGACUAGUUUCACAUUGCAUACUGAAUACUUAAACACGCCAUUCUGAAAUGGGGAUAUGGUGAUCUGUCUUGCAAUGAGAUGGAGAUGGGUCAGCACUGAUGUGGCACUUUAUCAGUUGUGAUGUAGCCUUACUUUUCACCUUUGUUAUAAAACACUGUUGAUGGAAAUGAGUGGCUGUGUCACUCAAGCUGUUUGUUAGGAACUGUUGCCCUUGGACAUCUGAAGACUAAAGGCUUCAAGAACUGCAUAAUAGCACCAAGGUGGAACCAUUCUGGAGAUAGUCAUAACUCAGGACUAUAUUUGAAAUUGUCUGAACAGCACAUUGGAAGAAUACUGUAGGAUUAAUUUCAUCCAGUGAAGAGAGUAAGCAGAGAUGGAUUCAGUUGGCUUAUGUCCAGAAGGCAGCUCCAGAUCUUUUUGUGAAUAUGUGCAGUAUUGAAAAGCUUGCAAAAAUAUCAAUACAGUGAGAUUUGCUUGUAUGUUUGGGAUCGUUCUAUUGCUGCAUGACUCACUUCACCUCAGCUUUAGCUGUCAGAAAGAUGGCCUGAU